rnacentral:rRNA from 2 species
GGACUACUGGGGUAUCUAAUCCUGUUUGCUCCCCACGCUUUCGUGCAUGAGCGUCAGUAUUGGCCCAGGGGGCUGCCUUCGCCAUCGGUAUUCCUCCACAUCUCUACGCAUUUCACUGCUACACGUGGAAUUCUACCCCCCUCUGCCAUACUCUAGCCCGCCAGUCACCAAUGCAGUUCCCAGGUUAAGCCCGGGGAUUUCACAUCGGUCUUAGCGAACCGCCUGCGCACGCUUUACGCCCAGUAAUUCCGAUUAACGCUUGCACCCUACGUAUUACCGCGGCUGCUGGCAC